UACGGGGGGGGCAAGCGUUGUUCGGAAUUACUGGGCGUAAAGGGUUCGUAGGUGGCCAACUAAGUCAGACGUGAAAUCCCUCAGCUUAACUGGGGAACUGCGUCUGAGACUGGAUGGCUUGAGUGCAGGAGAGGAACGCGGAAUUCCAGGUGUAGCGGUGAAAUGCGUAGAUAUCUGGAGGAACACCGGUGGCGAAGGCGGCAUCCUGGACCAACACUGACGCUGAGUGAGCGAAAGCCAGGGGAGCAAACGGG
rnacentral:rRNA from 1 species